rnacentral:rRNA from 1 species
UGGGGAAUCUUGCGCAAUGGGCGAAAGCCUGACGCAGCAACGCCGCGUGAGCGAAGAAGGCCUUCGGGUUGUAAAGCUCUGUCAGGGGGAAAGAAGGCACCUGGGUUAAUAGCCCAAGGGCUGACGGUACCCCCAAAGGAAGCCACGGCUAACUACGUGCCAGCAGCCGCGGUAAUACGUAGGUGGCAAGCGUUGUCCGGAAUCAUUGGGCGUAAAGAGCGCGUAGGUGGCUUGUCAGGUCUGAUGUGAAAUUUCGGGGCUCAACCCCGAACCUGCAUCGGAAACCGGCUUGCUAGAGUCUGGGAGAGGAGAGUGGAAUUCCUGGUGUAGCGGUGAAAUGCGUAGAUAUCAGGAGGAACACCGGUAGCGAAGGCGGCUCUCUGGAACAGUACUGACGCUGAGGCGCGAAAGCUAGGGGAGCGAACAG